UCUCCCGACUCCCCUCCCAACGCAAAAGAACUCUGUCUCUCUUUAAAUCUCUAACCUUCCCCCAAAUCCUUAACCUCACGCAUGAAAUCCUAACGCUAUCACGCAGAAAGAGACCUAAUGCAGAAGCACUCCAUCUCUCACUCUAAAUCUCUAACCUCUAUGGGCUAUGGCAUUCCUACUACAACGUUUUCAAAUAUAUUGAUUGGAUUGGCUCAAUAUAUUCCGAGAAUGGUCAGGAGCGAGACGUAACACCGAAAUCUGAUCCAACAUAAGCCAAGGAGGAGCAGAAUGGGCGAUGAUUGUUGUGAACCUUUGCCACAGUCCGUUGGUACAAAGAAGGGGCUGGGGCUGGGGCUCAGGCUAUCUCUCUCGAAGCCGAGGAGGAGCCAAAGUGAAAGUGAUGAUUUCUCUGAACCAUUGUCACAGUCUCAAGUCCGUUGGUGCGAAGAAGGGGCUGGGGCUGGGGCUGGGGCUGAGGUUGCCUUUCUCGAAGUGGAGGAGGAGCCAAAGUGAAAGCGAUGAUUUCUCUAAACCAUUGUCACAGUCCCAAGAUAGGUUUAAUUAAUUAGCAAAUUUGUAAUUAAGCAUAUUCAGAUCAGGGUUAGGUUUUUUGUUUUUUUUGUUUUUUUUUUUUUUUUUAUCUCUGUUUUGUUUUUUGUUUCUUUUAUCUCUGUUUUGUUUUCUCUGUUUUGCUUUGUUGUGUUGGGUUUUUAUGGAUGAGCUACUCUUCGAUGUUCCUGGCUCUGGAGAAAUGCUUAAUUGCCCAUUGUUGCU